rfam:Salmo salar isolate Sally breed double haploid chromosome ssa22, whole genome shotgun sequence.
UGGCUCAGUUGUUAGAGCAUGGUGUUUGCAACGCCAGCAUGGUGUGUGCAACGCCAGGGUUGUGGGUUCGAUUCCCAC